GAGUUUGAUCCUGGCUCAGAAUGAACGUUGGCGGCGUGGAUUAGGCAUGCAAGUCGAGCGAGAACCCGCAAGGGGGACAGCGGCAAACGGGUAGUAACGGGUAGGUGACGUACCCUCGGGUCGGGGAUAGCCACGGGAAACUGUGGGUAAUACCCGAUAACCUCUUCGGACGUGAUGGUCUGGAGAGCAAAGGUGUGAUUCCACCGGAGGAGCGGCCUGCCUCGUAUUAGCUUGUUGGUGAGGUAACGGCUCACCAAGGCGACGAUGCGUAGGGGGUGUGAGAGCAUGACCCCCACCACUGGGACUGAGAUACUGCCCAGACACCUACGGGUGGCUGCAGUCGAGAAUCUUCGGCAAUGGGCGCAAGCCUGACCGAGCGACGCCGCGUGUGGGAUGAAGGCCCUUGGGUUGUAAACCACUGUCAGAGGGGAUGAAGUGCAUGAGGGCAAUCUCUCAUGCUUGACAUAGCCUCAGAGGAAGCACGGGCUAAGUUCGUGCCAGCAGCCGCGGUAAUACGAACUGUGCGAACGUUAUUCGGAUCACUGGGCUUACAGGGUGCGUAGGCGGCUUGUCAAGUAGGGUGUGAAAGCCCCCGGCUUAACCGGGGAAUUGCGCCCUAAACUGGCGAGCUGGAGUGAGAUAGGGGUGUGUGGAACUUCCGGUGGAGCGGUGAAAUGUGUUGAUAUCGGAAGGAACGCCGGUGGCGAAAGCGACACACUGGAUCUUGUCUGACGCUGAGGCACGAAAGCCAGGGGAGCGAACGGGAUUAGAUACCCCGGUAGUCCUGGCUGUAAACGAUGAGCACUAGCUAGGAGGGGCGUAGGCCCUUCCUAACGGAGCNGAAGUGUUAAGUGCUCCGCCUGGGUAGUAUGGUCGCAAGGCUGAAACUCAAAGGAAUUGACGGGGGCUCACACAAGCGGUGGAGCAUGUGGCUCAAUUCGAGGCAACGCGAAGAACCUUAUCCUAGGCUUGACAUGGUCGGAUUAGUUCCGUGAAAGCGGAAUGACGCCUUCGGGUGGAACGAUCACAGGUGCUGCAUGGCUG
rnacentral:rRNA from 1 species